UACGGAGGGUGCAAGCAUUAAUCGGAUUUAUUGGGCGUAAAGGGCGCGUAGGCGGGUUUGUAAGUCAGAUGUGAAAUCCCGGGGCUCAACCUCGGAACAGCAUUUGAAACUACUUACCUCGAGGGUAGGCGGAGAAAACGGAAUUCCACAAGUAGCGGUGAAAUGCGUAGAUAUGUGGAAGAACACCGGUGGCGAAGGCGGUUUUCUAGCUUACUCCUGACGCUGAGGCGCGAAAGCAAGGGGAUCAAACAGG
rnacentral:rRNA from 1 species